CCUACGGGAGGCUGCAGUGGGGAAUAUUGGGCAAUGGGCGCAAGCCUGACCCAGCAACGCCGCGUGAAGGAAGAAGGCCCUCGGGUUGUAAACUUCUUUUAUUCGGGACGAAACAAAUGACGGUACCUGACUAAGAAGCCCCGGCUAACUACGUGCCAGCAGCCGCGGUAAUACGUAGGGGGCAAGCGUUAUCCGGAUUUACUGGGUGUAAAGGGAGCGUAGACGGCGCUGCAAGUCCGGAGUGAAAGCCCAUGGCUUAACCAUGGUACUGCGCUGGAAACUGUUGAGCUUGAGUGCGGGAGGGGCAGGCGGAAUUCCUAGUGUAGCGGUGAAAUGCGUAGAUAUUAGGAGGAACACCGGCGGCGAAGGCGGCCUGCUGGACCGUAACUGACGUUGAGGCUCGAAAGCGUGGGGAGCAAACAGGAUUAGAUACCCGGGUAGUC
rnacentral:rRNA from 1 species